rnacentral:rRNA from 1 species
GACGAACGCUGGCGGCGUGCUUAACACAUGCAAGUCGAACGGUGAACUCCGCUUGCGGGGGGAUCAGUGGCGAACGGGUGAGUAACACGUGGGCAACCUGCCCUCAGCUCUGGGAUAACUCCAAGAAAUUGGGGCUAAUACCGGAUAUGACCGCUGACCGCAUGGUCUGGUGGUGGAAAGAUUUAUCGGCUGGGGAUGGGCCCGCGGCCUAUCAGCUUGUUGGUGGGGUAGUGGCCUACCAAGGCGACGACGGGUAGCCGGCCUGAGAGGGUGACCGGCCACACUGGGACUGAGACACGGCCCAGACUCCUACGGGAGGCAGCAGUGGGCAAUAUUGCGCAAUGGGCGAAAGCCUGACGCAGCGACGCCGCGUGGGGGAUGACGGCCUUCGGGUUGUAAACCUCUUUCAGCAGGGACGAAGCGAAAGUGACGGUACCUGCAGAAGAAGCACCGGCCAACUACGUG